GGCGUCGACCGGCGCACGGGUGAGUAACGCGUAUCCAACCUGCCCACCACUUGGGGAUAACCUUGCGAAAGUAAGACUAAUACCCAAUGAUAUCUCUAGAAGACAUCUGAAAGAGAUUAAAGAUUUAUCGGUGAUGGAUGGGGAUGCGUCUGAUUAGCUUGUUGGCGGGGUAACGGCCCACCAAGGCAACGAUCAGUAGGGGGUCUGAGAGGAAGGUCCCCCACAUUGGAACUGAGACACGGUCCAAACUCCUACGGGAGGCAGCAGUGAGGAAUAUUGGUCAAUGGACGAGAGUCUGAACCAGCCAAGUAGCGUGCAGGAAGACGGCCCUAUGGGUUGUAAACUGCUUUUAUAAGGGAAUAAAGUGAGAGUCGUGACUCUUUUUGCAUGUACCUUAUGAAUAAGGACCGGCUAAUUCCGUGCCAGCAGCCGCGGUAAUACGGAAGGUCCGGGCGUUAUCCGGAUUUAUUGGGUUUAAAGGGAGCGUAGGCCGGAGAUUAAGCGUGUUGUGAAAUGUAGACGCUCAACGUCUGCACUGCAGCGCGAACUGGUUUCCUUGAGUACGCACAAAGUAGGCGGAAUUCGUGGUGUAGCGGUGAAAUGCUUAGAUAUCACGAAGAACUCCGAUUGCGAAGGCAGCUCACUGGAGCGCAACUGACGCUGAAGCUCGAAAGUGCGGGUAUCGAACAGGAUUAGAUACCCUGGUAGUCCGCACGGUAAACGAUGGAUGCCCGCUGUUGGUCUGAAUAGGUCAGCGGCCAAGCGAAAGCAUUAAGCAUCCCACCUGGGGAGUACGCCGGCAACGGUGAAACUCAAAGGAAUUGACGGGGGCCCGCACAAGCGGAGGAACAUGUGGUUUAAUUCGAUGAUACGCGAGGAACCUUACCCGGGCUUGAAUUGCAGAGGAAGGAUUUGGAGACAAUGACGCCCUUCGGGGCCUCUGUGAAGGUGCUGCAUGGUUGUCGUCAGCUCGUGCCGUG
rnacentral:rRNA from 1 species